UCUAGGGCCGCUCCCGCAGCAUAUGGAGGUUCCUAGGCUAGGAGUCUAAUUGGAGCUGUAGCCACUGGCGUACACCACAGCCACAGCAACACUGGAUCUGAGCUGCAUCUACAACCUACACCACAGCUCACGGCCACGCUGUAUUCUUAACCCACUGACUGAGGCCCAGGGAUCGAACCCAAUUGGAGAUUUUAAAAAGUAGAUACACCUAGUCCUAAUCUCUUAAUUUAUAGAUGAAGAGCCUGGGGCUCAGAAAGGUUGAAUACCCAUGUCACACAAAUUAAUAGUAGAUGCAGGCUUUAGUCUCCCAUAGUUGUAACAAUAAUAAUUGAAAUGGCUUGGAUUGUGAUCACCACAGCAAUUGCUCUAAUCCUUCAUAUGCACCAGCCUAGUGCUAAGUGAUCUGCAUGCACUGCCUCAUUUAAUAGCCUAACAAGGUCAGCACUACCACUAUGCCCAUUUUACAGGUCACCCUGCUGGUAUGGCAGAGAAAGAGUUUGUUAUGUGCUGUCUGAUUUGAUAUCCCCUGCCCCCAUGUGCUUUUCAUGUGCAGGGCCAUUUUCCUUACAUGAUUGUGAUGAAAAAGAAAAAGAAAAACAAAACUGUGAGUCAAUAUAUACUAAAAUACUAAAUAUAAUCAAGUGCCAAACAAAGGCAGAGCUAAUGGAUGCUUAGGGUGUUAAGAAAGGGUGGUCAAGUCCUGCUUGCCUCUCCAUGGAGAGUGUAUGGGGAAAGCUGCAGAGGGGGUGCUGAGCACAGUGUAAGGGGAGGGAGUAUGAGGAGCCUAGCUUUACUAAAAGGAGUGUGCAGUGGGGGGGCUAGACUGAAGGUGUUAAUGACGACCUUUGGCACCCUCAAAAGGAGUAACCGCUUUUUUUAGUUAUUGUUACUACUUCAGCUUGGUUGACUUCAAAAAUUUAAGGCAGGUCUUUUUCACCUGGUGUUCCAACCGCUUUUAAUUUACAUAUUAACUUGCUGAUUUUGAGGAGCAAGGCACAAUGAAGGGUUAUUUCAAAACUAAUGCAUUGUACUGCAAGGUAUUAUGUGACUAUGCAUAAUGACAUUUUUGGUUUUUCAUCCUAAAAUAUCAAGGAAAUAAAGUGUCCAGCAAAUGAUCUUUCUCCUAGGCUUUACCUUCACAGGCUGCUUUGGAUAGGUCUGCAUUUGCUUUUGAGAACUAGAUGAUUAUGAAUUGAUCACUGGAAGGAGAUUUUUAAAAGUGCAGUAUUUUGACAAUUUUGGAGGCGGGGAAGAAGAAAAAGGGAGUAACUGCAUAGGAUAAUUAAGUUCCAUCUUUGUAUUCAUCUUAGAAGUUCAGGCCUGUUUAAUUUACCUACUCUAAACUACUGCAGAGGAAACAUUAACAGCAGUGGAGGUAUAAAUAUUACAUAGUACUGCAAUGCUUUCAUUAAAACCAAACAAAAACAAAAGCCUUGUAGUUUUAAAAAAUACUGGCACAUCUGCUGUACUGGUUAAGAAACCCAAAUGUAGCUGUGUAGCACCAGCUUAAACUAAUACCGUAAGCAGAGAAAGCUCCCUUGUCUUUUCUUAAGCCGACUGACUAAUUGAGCACUAGUAUGGUCAAUAAAAUCAUAGCACUGGGGAAACAGUUUUCAGAAGUUUGUGCUAUGCUUCUCUCAGCUGUUGGACAUGAAGAGCUUUAAUGACUCUCUGUCACACUAAUGGGCAUUUCUGUGUGUUUCAGCAAGUCAACCACUUCUGGUUUAUCCUGUUGGUCCCAUUACCAUUCAUCUGCAGACAAGGAUGCUCAAGGUAAGACAGACUUAGCUCCUGAAGGCCUCUGAGACUCAAAAGAGGAGGUUUGAGGUUGUUUUUCAUAGAAAAGCUAACCUUGCAAUGGACUACUUGACCAUCCGACUAUAUGUAAUAUGGCUCUGAUUUCAGUAUUAAAUUGCAUAUUUACUGGUGCAUACAUGACAGGAAGUUCAUUCAAUUAAUUUCUAAGCUUUUCCUUUUGUCUUGGAAGGCAUUUUCUUUCUUCAAAGAAGUGGCCCUGAUUCAGUGGGGGAAGGUGUAUUUUAGGCUCUUCACUGUCAUAAUGUUCAACUGAUGAAAAUAUCAUCUUUGAUAUGCUCCACUGAAAAUGUCUUGUAUGUGGAGUAGAGAUGCAUAUCCCUGGAGAAGGCUGCCCUGCAUUACAAAGCAGGUAAAUAGACAGGGAUGGAGGCACUUCAAUGAAAGUCUCCUGCAGUCCCACAUUAAUAUGCUUGGACUUAAGCUUGAUGUUUCCCAAACAGGCUAGAUGGUGCCCCUUGCUUAGAUUCUGCUCCUGACAGGCCAUAGGCUGGAGGGUGAUUCUUGCUGGACUCUGCAGUUUUCCGGCAUUCCUUGUUUGACAGAAUCCAAUUCCCUUGACCUUCAGGACAUGGAGCAGAACUCAUCACUUCCACCUGGCCUAUCCAAGUACGUAAAGCUAUGCUUCUAGAAUACUGCUGCCAUGGUUAGUUUAAUUUUAAUUUAUUGCAGAGAUGGUUUUAUGCAUAUGACUUUAUAACUGUGCACAUACCCUGAGACCUCUGAAGGUCAAACAAAUAAUAAAUGCUCAUUAAGAGCUUGGUACUUUUGCUGAAACUGGCCAACAUAGGUGUCAUUGGUGAUACUUUCAUGUGGACAAAAAGCAUCUAUGUCAAGUAGGACCUAGUAUUAAACUAUUACAGUAUUUGGCUUUGCUGCUCCAGGAAAUUAUAUGCCAGCAAUGCCUAUUCAGUCAUUAAAAUAGUGGGACAGUUUAAAACUGGGAGUUACUUGCUGUUUAAUCUAUUUUUCUGUUAAAGCACUGGACUAUUUUGGCUUAUUCUUUUUUGGUGUGUGUGUGUGUGUGUGUGUGUGUGUGUGUGUGUACAUGCAUGCAUUUACCCUGGAGAGUGGGAGUAGAGGUGGAAAGGGGGGAGAGAAAGAAUAAGUUCUCACACUGCUUAAAUAAGUCUUAUGUAGCUGUUAGAGGUUAUAGAAGGAAACCCUGAUUUUUUCCUGUGCAUGAGGUACAGAAUAGGGUACCAAGGUGACUCCCAGCUGCAGGUACAUAAUUCCUGCCGUGAAAAUCCUGGCAUCCUGAUAUUGUGUGUUCAGAGCCCUUCAAAGUGGAAGUGCUACUCUCAUCUCUGAUGUGGUGUCUCUUUACCCACAUCCCUGGGCUGCUGUGGAGGGCCUGGAUGUGGAGCAAGGAGAAUAUGCUCAGUAUGCCACAGGCCUCCCACCUGAAAAAUGCUGAAUCACUCACUGCCCUCUGGAAUGUGAAUGAAAGUUAAUUCUCUUAAAAAAUAAAACAUAGAAAAUCUGACAAUUCUGGUUGCUAACACUCAUAUAAUCUCAGCAAACAACAUAACCUAUUAAGGUAGUAGGGAAUUCUACUUUAUAAACUUUGGCGUUAUGCUAUGUUCCAAGCAUGCUCUUCUUCAUGUUAACUUAUUAAGAUAUAUCUAUGACUUAAUUAUGGACAUACCUGCUAUUCUUUGUCUUAAACAUAUUUAUAGCUAAGAAAGGAAACCUAAAAUUGGAGUUAAUUAUGCUUGUUUUAUUGGCUUAAAAGCAACCAUAACCAUAGAGCCAUUUUGAAAAUUCAGUUUUCCUUUAAAAAAAAAAAGACACAGAUCCUAGCUUUUGAUUUUAGUAAUGUAGAAUUAUUCUUAUCUUAGAAAGGUAAUCACCAUGGAUUAUUACAGUAUUCCUUUGAUGUGUCUAAUUCUUACUGUUCUGUUUUAAGAACUUUAUUCAUGUCGGUAACGACAUUGAAGUGGAGAUACUCUGUUAACUGAAAUCUCUCUGCAAUUCUUAAGUCAAACCUUUGGUCCUCAUUCUACUCCAGAGCCACUUCAGCAUUGGUCCGGAAUGCUAGAGAAGAUAAAGUAUGGAAAAGGUGUGGGAGAAUAAGAAGAUACAUUUCUAAAUUUAUUCCUCUUCCUAGCCCCUUCUCUGCAGGUUCUCCCAGGGAAUCUACCCCAAUAUUUGAUUAUGUCCCUCCCCAAAACUGAUCAGAUUAGUUUUAAUCCAUCCAAAGUUCUUGUCUUGUUUUAGGUGUCUUAGAGUUUCCUUAACGUGGACAAAUUUAAUUCAUCUUUUUAUGGCCCAAAAGAUCACCAUCAUCCUGAUUUUCAUUGUUGACUUUCCUUAUGUUUAGCUACAGGCUAAACAUAAAAAUAAAAGAAUUAUUUUAGUUCUGUCAAUCCCACAUGGCCCUACUGCAUUUAAAUUCUUAGUAAUCAGUAUAUAAUUGCUAACAAGGUGAUUUUUUUCAGCCAUAUCUUAAGACAUUGUUUUAUUUAUUUAUUUAUUUAUUUAGUCUUUUUGCCUUCUCUAGGGCCGCUUCCCACGGCAUAUGGAAGUUCCCAGGCUAGGGGUCUAUUCGGAGCUGUAGCCGCUGGCCUACACCAGAGCCACAGAGCCACGGCAACGUGGGAUCCUAGCUGUGUCUGCGAUCUACACCUCAGCUCACAGCAACGCCGGAUCCUUAACCCACUGAGCAAGGCCAGGGAUUGAACCCACAACCUCAUGGUUCCUAGUUGGAUUCGAUAACCACUGCGCCAUGAUGGGAACUCCUUUUUUUUUUUUUUUUUAAAGACAUUGUUUUAGACUCACAGGCUUCUCAAGGUCCAGGCAAUCAUACCCAGAAUGAGUGAAGGCAAAGUCAAUAAUAA
rnacentral:lncRNA from 1 species